rnacentral:SRP_RNA from 14 species
AGCUGCGACCUCGUCAGGCCCGGUGGCAAUUGUUCGCCCAAACCCCUGUAGGCCGUGGUGCAACCGUGGGGAAGCCAACCCUCGGGCAGCC